CGUAGGUGGCAAGCGUUGUACCGGAUUUAUUGGGUUUAAAGGGUGCGUAGGCGGUCUUAUAAGUCAGUGCUGAAAUAUCCCGGCUUAACCGGGAGGGUGGCAUUGAUACUGUAGGACUUGAGUAAAGUUGAGGUUGCGGAAUUGACGGUGUAGCGGUGAAAUGCUUAGAUAUCGUCAAGAACACCGAUAGUGUAGACAGCUAACUAAGCUUUAACUGACGCUGAGGCACGAAAGUGUGGGGAUCAAACAGGAUUAGAUACCCUGGUAGUCCACACUGUAAACGUUGAAGACUCGCUGUUGGCGAUACACAGUCAGCGGCUGAGAGAAACCGUUAAGUCUUCCACCUGGGGAGUACGCCGGCAACGGUG
rnacentral:rRNA from 1 species